GCUCUAGCUCUAUCUUUCUCCGGACCCCGAAGCUUAAGAAUUAUCCGCCUCACUCUCUUUUUUAGAAAUAGGAGGGAAAGGUAGAGUGGAAAUUGAUUUCUUGCAGAGACUGAGGCUCUGAAUGAUAGAGGGAAUAAACAUUUGCCCUGGAUAAAAAUGUUCUUGGCUGUUGUCCAGCUCUAAUGAUGUCCUAGAGCAGAAGUGUUUCUUCUGUUGUCUCAUUUUACCAAGAGGAUGAUGUCUGUUCCCAGCUACUCGGGAGGUUGAGGACAAUCGCUUGAACCAGGGAGUCGGAGGUUGCUGUGAGCCAAGAUGGCGCCACUGCACUCGAGCCUGGCAACAGAGUGGGACUCUGUCUCAAAACCAACCAAACAAACUACACACACACACACACACACACACACACACACACACACACACAUGUAUAUAGAUGUAUUUUUUCUCAGUAUUCUUUUUGUACAUGCAUUGAGUUGCUGUUCCCUAGACUAUUUUCCCUCAUGGAAUAUAAACUGUCGAUAAUUUCAGUCACCUGCAAUGUCAUACUCCAUCAUAUCACCUGUCUGUUCUACUUUUUAAAUUCCCUAAAAAUGUAGAAAUAGGAUUAUUUCAAGAGGAAAGCUGUCCUCUGAAAAUAAGAAGUUUAAUUAGACUCUAACACAUAUCUGAAACUGUACACACAGAAACACACACACACGGUAUGAAAGAAACGCAGAGACGAAGACAACACUUUUUAGUGGAAUCAUUGUGUAAAACACACAUACAAAAACAUCCCGCCACACGUGUUCCAUUAGUAUAAAAACAGACAAGCAAAAAACUUUCCAAUUUGAAUAAAAGCUACAAGACUUCAACCAUUUAGAAAGGUUCAGUGUUCUGGAGUGGCUUGAGCCAUACCAGUGUUUUUUCAUAUGCAUCAAUAUUUGUGUGUUACAUACAAGCCAUUUUUGUUUUGAAAAUGCCAAUUCUAAAGUCGAAUAGCAACACUAAAAUCGAUUUGGCACUAAUCAUUACUUCAAAAGGGUUAUAAUUCCUGGAUUAAACAAGAUGAAUGUAGAAUCAAAUCAAACAUUUAAAAAUAUCUAUAGUAUAUGCUUUUAAAAUAAAAAUGUUUGCACUAAUCUGAAAAAUUAGCGCUUUAUAGAAGGAUUUCUAGAACCGUAUUUUAGCAGCAUUCGUAUUGCUGUGUGUGUUUUUGUGUGAUUAAUAAUUAGUUUUCAGGCCAGGCAUGGCAGCUCAUGCCUGUAAUCCCAGGCCAACGCAGGCAAAUUGCCUGAGGUCGGGAGUUCGAGACCAGCCUGGCCAACAUGGUGAAACCCUGUCUCUACUAAAAACACAAAAAUUAGCUGGGAGUAGUGGCAGGCACCUGCAAUCCCAAUUACUUAGGAGGCUGAGGCAGAAUAAUUGCUUGAACCCAGGAGGCGGAGGUUGCAGUGAGCCGUGAUCAAACCAUUGCACUCCAGCCUGGGCAAUAGAACAAGACUCUUUCUCAAGAAAAAAAAAAA
rnacentral:lncRNA from 1 species